UUCUGGUGCCAGCAGCCGCGGUAACACGUAGGGAGCAAGCGUUGUCCGGAUUUAUUGGGCGUAAAGAGCUCGUAGGUGGUUCGGUAAGUCGGAUGUGAAAACUCAAGGCUCAACCUUGAGACGCCAUCCGAUACUGCUGUGACUUGAGUUCGGUAGAGGAGUGUGGAAUUCCUGGUGUAGCGGUGAAAUGCGCAGAUAUCAGGAGGAACACCGACAGCGAAGGCAGCACUCUGGGCCGAUACUGACACUGAGGAGCGAAAGCAUGGGGAGCAAACAGGAUUAGAUACCCUGGUAGUCCAUGCCGUAAACGUUGGGCACUAGGUGUGGGGAUUUAUCAACGAUCUCCGCGCCGUCGCUAACGCAUUAAGUGCCCCGCCUGGGGAGUACGGCCGCAAGGCUAAAACUCAAAGGAAUUGACGGGGGCCCGCACAAGCGGCGGAGCAUGUUGCUUAAUUCGAGGCAACGCGAAGAACCUUACCUGGGUUUGACAUUUAGGGAAAAGCUAUAGAGAUAUGGUGUCCUUCGGGGCCCUAAACAGGUGGUGCAUGGCCGUUCUU
rnacentral:rRNA from 1 species